UGGGGAAUAUUGCACAAUGGGCGCAAGCCUGAUGCAGCCAUGCCGCGUGUGUGAAGAAGGCCUUCGGGUUGUAAAGCACUUUCAGCGAGGAGGAAGGUGGUGAGCUUAAUACGCUCAUCAAUUGACGUUACUCGCAGAAGAAGCACCGGCUAACUCCGUGCCAGCAGCCGCGGUAAUACGGAGGGUGCAAGCGUUAAUCGGAAUUACUGGGCGUAAAGCGCACGCAGGCGGUUUGUUAAGUCAGAUGUGAAAUCCCCGGGCUCAACCUGGGAACUGCAUUUGAAACUGGCAAGCUAGAGUCUCGUAGAGGGGGGUAGAAUUCCAGGUGUAGCGGUGAAAUGCGUAGAGAUCUGGAGGAAUACCGGUGGCGAAGGCGGCCCCCUGGACGAAGACUGACGCUCAGGUGCGAAAGCGUGGGGCAGCAAACAGGAUUAGAUACCCUGGUAGUCCACGCUGUAAAACGAUGUCGAUUUUGGAGGUUGUGCCCUUGAGGCGUGGCUUCCGGAGCUAACGCGUUAAA
rnacentral:rRNA from 1 species